rnacentral:rRNA from 1 species
UACGUAGGUGGCGAGCGUUAUCCGGAUUUAUUGGGCGUAAAGAGAACGCAGGCGGUCUUUUAAGUCUGAUGUGAAAGCCUUCGGCUUAACCGGAGUAGUGCAUUGGAAACUGGGAGACCUGAGUGCAGAAGAGGAGAGUGGAACUCCAUGUGUAGCGGUGAAAUGCGUAGAUAUAUGGAAGAACACCAGUGGCGAAAGCGGCUCUCUGGUCUGUAACUGACGCUGAGGUUCGAAAGCGUGGGUAGCAAACAGG